UCUAUGUAAUCGGUGGUAAAUCUA
rnacentral:siRNA from 1 species